CUUGUUUCUCUCACAAGAGGACCCGUGUUUGUUUGGAUAGAUUUAGGGAAAUUAUCGAAAAACAUGUUACAGUGUCGUUGCUAAGUUACUUAUAAUCGUACCACAAGAACCCGAGGAGGAUAUAACUAGUAUUUUGUCUCAACAUCUUUUUUGUCUCAAUAUCUUUUUCUCAACCUUAUGUGAAAGCGCUGUGGAAUAACUGUCAAAACUCAUUGAAAAAAUAAACAGAAGAAACGAAGAAACAUCAACGUAAGUUCAAAGCUGUCCGACUAAUUUCAUGAAUUGUAACAUGUUGUCCAUUCCAUUGACGACCGUUACACCAACCAAUGGAAUUUCGAGUGCCGACGUCAACGACCCGGAUGUAAAACCACGAGAGGAAUAACCGGUAAUAACAUGCAGCCGCCACUAGAUGGUGACAGAAUAUAAGCAAGUCAAUGGAGUCAAGUGAAGCAAAAUCUCAUUUUCCAGCUCUGGGUCAAGACCUUCAUAACGCUGUUUCCUCAGUCAGAAUGGGCCAUGCAGAUUUCCCUGUGAGAGAAAGGGCGAUUGAGUCUCCAGCUGCCAUCACACAAAAACAUCUUCACAGGCAUGCGGCAGCAGCAACCGUGUUUAUCUUCUGGAAAAUGGGAUGGCAAGCCAAUCAGUGAAUGUAUGUCUUGGGCACCAGUGAGAUUGAAUAAUUGAACAGGAGGCAUACAGACAUGACAACUUUUCUUUGAUAGACAGUGACAAGUCUUCUACCAAUGGGAAAGACAGCGAGUAUCUGGGAGCUGUCGUGGACACCUCUCUCGUCUCUCCUGGUGUGAAUGUAGCAAGAUUCCUGCAGCUGAUCGCGGCUCUUCUGAUGACAGGUUGAAAUGAAGUUGAAUUGAAAUCCAAAUGAAGCCGUCUCAGCGCUGCCACAAUGAUAUACAAGCAUUCUUGUGGCAUGUUUAACUAUUUGGAUCAAAUGUUCAAAUGGUCACACCUGGGAGAGCUGCAGCCUGGCCUGGGCUAUGAGAGGCUGUUGACAGCUUGAUUGGAGCUAUCUGUGCUGAGGACUGGGUCUGGUGCAGGGUGUUAAAGGCAAUGGGUGAUGCAGAAACCCUUCAGCAGGACAGAGGUGUGUGUCUAUAAUAUUAAUAGGAGAUCAUACAUUUUUGGACAUACUUAACAUUUUUGAACUUUUUAUUGCAAAAAUACAAUAUUGUAUAGCUGUUGUUUUUACCAAUAAA